CCUACGGGAGGCAGCAGUAGGGAAUAUUGCUCAAUGGGCGAAAGCCUGAAGCAGCAACGCCGCGUGGAGGAUGAAGGUUUUCGGAUUGUAAACUCCUUUUGUUAGAGAAGAUAAUGACGGUAUCUAACGAAUAAGCACCGGCUACCUCCGUGCCAGCAGCCGCGGUAAUACGGCGGGUGCAAGCGUUACUCGGAAUCACUGGGCGUAAAGGGCGCGUAGGCGGGUUAGCAAGUCAGAUGUGAAAUCCCAUGGCUUAACCAUAGAAGUGCAUUUGAAACUGUUAGUCUAGAGUAUGGGAGAGGUAGGUGGAAUGCUUGGUGUAGCGGUAAAAUCCGUAGAGAUCAAGAGGAAUACUCAUUGCGAAGGCGACCUGCUAGACCAUAACUGACGCUGAUGCGCGAAAGCGUGGGGAGCAAACAGGAUUAGAUACCCGAGUAGUC
rnacentral:rRNA from 1 species